rnacentral:rRNA from 1 species
UACAGAGGUCUCAAGCGUUGUUCGGAGUCACUGGGCGUAAAGGGUGUGUAGGCGGUUCUUUAAGUUUGGUGUGAAAUCUCCCGGCUCAACUGGGAGGGUGCGCCGAAUACUGAGGGACUAGAGUACGGGAGAGGAAAGUGGAAUUCCUGGUGUAGCGGUGAAAUGCGUAGAUAUCAGGAGGAACACCGGUGGUGUAGACGGCUUUCUGGACCGACACUGACGCUGAAACACGAAAGCGUGGGUAGCAAACAGG